ensembl:lncRNA
AGAAUAAAGUGGUUCAACAGUCAUCUUUACAGCUUCCAGUUCUGCUUAUUAAAUAUUACAUUGAGAGUAACCAUAAACAAUGAACAAAGCUGAAAUGGUUGCUGAAUGAUUAUAUUCUCAGAGAUUGGCUGUGCUUUUUAAUUUUAAAGGUUUGAAAAAGAGAAACAUGCAAUAUUAUUAGAAGUUUAAGAUGGUUUGAGUGUUAUUGAAAAUAUCCUACACUAUGUUUAGCAUACUGUAAAUAAACCCACAUUGUGUUGCACAAACUUUAGUUUGACAUAAACUGACGUAAGAGAGACAGUAGAGACAAAAUCAUUGACUUGGAGAACCCCAUCAUUUCAAUGUGUAAUCAAUAUGUUACAAUUCACAAACACUGUGUCCACUGGCUAUGCUCUCUGCCCACAUCCUCCUCACAGUUCCAAAGUAAUGCACACCCUGCUUUUGUUUUGCCAACUGUCACACGGCUCCACAUUUUUCUUUUACUGCCAGCAUGCUGUCAUGUUCUUUAAGAGGAUAUAUUGAAAGUUAAUUACGGAUGGUAAUAAAUGAGAAAAAUUCAUAGGCAUUACUUAGUUUGACCUUAAGUACAUUUUCUGCUUUACUGGUUUCAAGUUUCACGAAACUGAUAUGUUGUACAUGACAGUUCUCUAAUGCUUGUUGACUUUGUUGGCCAAUAAAAUGUUAAGGCAUUCCAUACUAUGCUCAUACAUUGACAUUUACAAGCACAUGAAAUGGUGUACAAGACAAUUUUAAAUUUUCACUGCAAGUCAAAGUUGUGAUAAUAGAUGCAGUUUAUCUUAAUUUCUGUCUUUGUGCGCAUUUCAGUGUACUUUUCAAUCAAUGUUUAGUUAUUGAAUUUAAUGUCUAUUGGCCAUAUUGACAUUUCUAGCCUGCAUUUAUGAAAGUAAUCCUCACUUUCCUUUUUCAGUUGCAUUACAGUUUUUGGAUGGAAAACACUAUGGAGAGUGAGGUGAUGCAGCAUGGUUUUGUAGUAUUAUUCACGGUCAUGGACCCUUUGUGGCCCCUGCAGUAAAUACCUUCCAGAUCAUCAAGCUUCUCAGAUUAGCCUCCCAUGUCAAGCUCAAACUUGUAUUAUUUUGCCUGAAAUAUUCACAACAUACAAUCAAUCGUGCUUGGAUUAAGCAGAAUUGUCAAGGCUAAGAAUUUAUAAUUGGCUUUAUGUGGUUUUAAGUUUGUGCAUUCUAUUAAAAAAUGUUUUAAUCAAAUACUGAUUGCAUUACAGUGAUUUUGCCCAAUACUGUUUAGAUAAAAAAUACACCUGCAGUCCAUGCUGAAUCAUCUGCAAAAAUGUACAUGUGUGCACUGUCUGUAGAGACAAACAAAUUCAUUUUAAACAAGCAAC